rnacentral:RNase_P_RNA from 1 species
CCAGAGGAUCGGGCGGCCGCGGGUGCGCAAGCACGCGAGGAAAGUCCGGGCUCCGCGAAACGACGGUGGCGGGUAACGCCCGCCGGGCCAGAAAGCGAUUUUUGGCCCAGGGAAAGUGCCACAGAGAGUAGACCGCCAACGUCUUCGGACACGGUAAGGCUGAAAGGGUGCGGUAAGAGCGCACCGCGGGGCCGGUAACGGUCGCGGCACGGCAAACCCCACCGGGAGCAAGACCGAAUAGGGGCGGCGCAUGGGCUUCGUUUCAGCUCGUCGCCCGGGUUGGUUGCUGGAGGCGGCGUGCGAGCGUCGUCCUAGAGGAAUGGUCGCCCAUCCCCCGGAUGAUGGUCCGGGGGAGGACAGAACCCGGCUUAUAGAUCCUGUGGCGCU